ACUGCUGGCUUGCCCCGGGUCCUUAAGCCAGCGACAGUUUUUAUUGCCGAACCCAGGCUGGAGGCGGGCGGCCCUAGGAGCCGCGCACAACAGCGCAAGCGGGCUGGAUACCGGGAGCCGAUUCCAGGGCGCCCACAGAAGCAGAAUCAGAGGGGUAGGCGGGGGUGGGGCGUGCUGUUCGGCGCUGUGGCCAAAAUCCGCCCGGCGCUGAAAGAGGGGACGUGGGUGUGAGUCCCAGCAUCAGCCAGGGAAUCCGCCCCUAGCUUGUUCUUCGCCCAGCUGGGCUCCAAGGCGCCCUCUGCGGGCCCAUAGCUCCUACCGCGUCCACCUGCAGAGCAGAGGCUCCUCACCAAAAGCCCCACCCCACCGGAGAGGGUCACGGAGGUCCCGGGGAAUCCGCACUCCUUGAUCGCGUUAGCCGACUUUGUAGGUGUUCAGGAGCAGCCUCCUAGCAGCCUCAGUUUUCCCCUCCCCGCCCUGCUGGUUCAAGCACCACAGCCUGGAAUGGGAGAACUGUUGUCCACCGCCCCCUCCCUCCCCGCACCCCGCCUCUGCUGCAGCGGACCCGCUUUAAUAAUGUCGCUGGAAAGUGACACGCGAUUUAUUAUUAAAGUAAUGCGGGCGCGGGGACGGGAAAGGUUUAAUAAACGUGCUGAGAUGCCGAG
rnacentral:sRNA from 1 species